UACGAAGGGGGCUAGCGUUGCUCGGAAUUACUGGGCGUAAAGGGCGCGUAGGCGGACAGUUUAGUCAGAGGUGAAAUCCCUCGGCUCAACUGAGGAACUGCCUUUGAAACUGUCGGGCUUGAGGCCGGGAGGGGGUAGCGGAAUUCCCAGUGUAGCGGUGAAAUGCGUAGAUAUUGGGAGGAACACCGGUGGCGAAGGCGGCUACCUGGACCGGUUCUGACGCUGAUGCGCGAAAGCGUGGGUAGCAAACAGG
rnacentral:rRNA from 1 species